GACGAACGCUGGCGGCGUGCUUAACACAUGCAAGUCGAACGGAAAGGCCCUGCUUGCAGGGUACUCGAGUGGCGAACGGGCGAGUAACACGUGGGUGAUCUGCCCUGCACUUCGGGAUAAGCCUGGGAAACUGGGUCUAAUACCGGCUAGGAGCCAUUUUGAGUGUGAUGGUUGGAAAGUUUUUUCGGUGUAGGAUGAGCUCGCGGCCUAUCAGCUUGUUGGUGGGGUAAUGGGCUACCAAGGCGGCGGCGGGUAGCCGGCCUGCGUAGGUGGCCGGCGAUCUUGGCUCUGACGGGCGGCCCCGGCACCGACUGUUCGCCGCUGGGGGGAAGAUUGCAGGAGCGGCGCCAGCCUGGUGCAGCGGGGCCGCGGGGGGUAUGACGCUCUUCGUGUUGUAAACCCCAUGCGCAAGGGACGAAGCUUUUUGUGACGGUACCUAGACAGGAAGCACCGGCUAACUACGUG
rnacentral:rRNA from 1 species